UUUCCGGUUGAUCCUGCCGCCGGCCACCGCUAUCAAGUUCCGACUAAGCCAUGCGAGUCAAGGUAUCGUAAGAUGCCGGCAAACUGCUCAGUAACACGUGGAUAAUCUAACCUUGAGUAAGGGAUAACCUCGGGAAACUGAGGAUAAUACCUUAUAAUUGCUUAAAACUGGAAUGUUUAAGCAAUAAAAGUUCCGACGCUCAAGGAUGAGUCUGCGACCUAUCAGGUAGUAGGUGGUGUAAUGGACCACCUAGCCUCAGACGGGUACGGGCCCUGGGAGGGGUAGCCCGGAGAUGGACUCUGAGACAUAAGUCCAGGCCCUACGGGGCGCAGCAGGCGCGAACACUGUGCAAUGCGCGAAAGCGCGACACGGGGAGCUUGAGUGUCUUGGCAUAGCCAAGACUUUUCUCAUUCCUAAAAAGCAUGAGGAAUAAGUGCUGGGUAAGACGGGUGCCAGCCGCCGCGGUAACACCCGCAGCACAAGUGGUGGUCACUUUUAUUGAGCCUAAAGCGUUCGUAGCCGGUUUUGUAAAUCUUUAGAUAAAGCCUGAAGCUUAACUCCAGAAAGUCUGAAGAGACUGCAAGACUUGAGAUCGGGUGAGGUUAAACGUACUUUCAGGGUAGGGGUAAAAUCCUGUAAUCCCGGAAGGACGACCAGUGGCGAAAGCGUUUAACUAGAACGAAUCUGACGGUAAGGAACGAAGGCUAGGGUAGCAAACCGGAUUAGAUACCCGGGUAGUCCUAGCUGUAAGCACUGCCCAUUUGAUGUUGCUUUUCCGUUGAGGGAGGGCAGUGUCGGAGCGAAGGUGUUAAAUGGGCCGCUUGGGAAGUAUGGUCGCAAGACUGAAACUUAAAGGAAUUGGCGGGGGAGCACCGCAACGGGAGGAAUGUGCGGUUUAAUUGGAUUCAACGCCGGA
rnacentral:rRNA from 1 species